rnacentral:rRNA from 1 species
UACGAAGGGGGCUAGCGUUGUUCGGAAUCAGUCGUGGGCGUAAAGGGCGUCGUAGGCGGACUAGAUGAAGUCGGGGGUGAAAAGCCUGUGGCUCAACCACAGAAUUGCCUUUCGAGUACUGUCUGGCUUGAGACCGGAAGAGGUUAGUGGGAACUGACGAGUGUAGAGGUGAAAUUCGUAGAUAUUCGCAAGAACACCAGUGGCGAAGGCGGCUGACUGGUCCGGUUCUGACGCUGAGGCGGCGAAAGCGUG